UACGUAGGGGGCAAGCGUUGUCCGGAUUUAUUGGGCGUAAAGAGCGUGUAGGCGGCCGCACAGGUCCGUUGUGAAAACUGGAGGCUUAACCUUCAGACGUCGAUGGAAACCGUGCGGCUAGAGUCCGGAAGAGGAGAAUGGAAUUCCUGGUGUAGCGGUGAAAUGCGCAGAUAUCGGGAAGAACACCCGUGGCGAAGGCGGUUCUCUGGGACGGUACUGACGCUGAGACGCGAAAGCGUGGGGAGCGAACAGG
rnacentral:rRNA from 1 species